rnacentral:rRNA from 1 species
UACGGAGGAUGCGAGCGUUAUCCGGAUUUAUUGGGUUUAAAGGGUGCGUAGGCGGUCCGUUAAGUCAGCGGUAAAAUUGCGGGGUUCAACCUCGUCGAGCCGUUGAAACUGGGUGCCUUGAGUGGGCGAGAAGUACGCGGAAUGCGUGGUGUAGCGGUGAAAUGCAUAGAUAUCACGCAGAACUCCGAUUGCGAAGGCAGCAUACCGGCGCCCUACUGACGCUGAGGCACGAAAGCGUGGGUAUCGAACAGG